rnacentral:rRNA from 1 species
AACCUUUACAAUGUACGUAAGUACGAUAAGGGAACUCUAAGUGCCCUGCUUUUGCAAGGCUUUUGCUAAGUGUAAAUAUCUUAGCGAAUAAGUGGUGGGCAAGACUGGUGCCAGCCGCCGCGGUAACACCUGCGCCACGAGUGGCAAUCAUAAUUAUUGGGCCUAAAGCGUUCGUAGCCGGAUUGAUAAGUCUUGGGUGAAAUCGUUGCGCUUAACAAAACGACGUGCUUGAGAUACUGUUAAUCUAGGAACCG